rnacentral:lncRNA from 1 species
UCAUCAAUCUUAUGGUAACCCAUGCGAAUGAGGGUCUGCUUAUCAUAUGUGUCAAUGUAGCGUAGGUCUAUGGACAGCUCCCUCCUAAGAUCAACUCUACCCUCCCUGAAGACUAAAGUCAAGGCCAUGCCAUAGGAUAGGCAUCCUUUGGCUCUCCCCACUCCAUCUCGCAUCUGAGAGAAGAUCAAGGAUGGGAGACUAUCCCCAGA